GACGAACGCUGGCGGCGUGCUUAACACAUGCAAGUCGAACGAGAGCGUAGAGAAAGCUUGCUUUUUCUACAAUCUAGUGGCAAACGGGUGAGUAACGCGUAGACAACCUGCCCUACGGAUGGGGACAACAGCUGGAAACGGCUGCUAAUACCGAAUACGUUCCGAAAGUCGCAUGACUAUCGGAAGAAAGGAUGGCCUCUAUUUAUAAGCUAUCGCCGGAGGAGGGGUUUGCGUCUGAUUAGCUAGUUGGAGGGGUAACGGCCCACCAAGGCGACGAUCAGUAGCCGGUCUGAGAGGAUGAACGGCCACAUUGGAACUGAGACACGGUCCAGACUCCUACGGGAGGCAGCAGUGGGGAAUCUUCCGCAAUGGGCGAAAGCCUGACGGAGCAACGCCGCGUGAGUGAAGACGGCCUUCGGGUUGUAAAGCUCUGUUAUACGGGACGAAUAAUCUUGUGGUUAAUACCCAUGAGAAGUGACGGUACCGUAAGAGAAAGCCACGGCUAACUACGU
rnacentral:rRNA from 1 species